CAGCCGCCGCGGGAAUACGAAGGGGGCUAGCGUUGUCCGGAAUUAUUGGGCGUAAAGGGCUCGCAGGCGGUUUCUUAAGUCUGAUGUGAAAGCCCCCGGCUCAACCGUGGAGGGUCAUUGGAAACUGGGAAACUUGAGUGCAGAAGAGGAGAGUGGAAUUCCACGUGUAGCGGUGAAAUGCGUAGAGAUGUGGAGGAACACCGGUGGCGAAGGCGACUCUCUGGUCUGUAACUGACGCUGAGGAGCGAAAGCGUGGGGAGCGAACAGGAUUAGAUACCCGCGUAGUCCCUGUCUCUUAUAA
rnacentral:rRNA from 1 species